rnacentral:rRNA from 1 species
GCAGCCGCCGCGGUAACACGAAGGGGGCUAGCGUUGUUCGGAUUUACUGGGCGUAAAGCGCACGUAGGCGGACUUUUAAGUCAGGGGUGAAAUCCCGGGGCUCAACCCCGGAACUGCCUUUGAUACUGGAAGUCUUGAGUAUGGUAGAGGUGAGUGGAAUUCCGAGUGUAGAGGUGAAAUUCGUAGAUAUUCGGAGGAACACCAGUGGCGAAGGCGGCUCACUGGACCAUUACUGACGCUGAGGUGCGAAAGCGUGGGGAGCAAACAGGAUUAGAGACCCGCGUAGUCCCUGUCUCUUAUAC